AGCUCGCUACCAUAAAUAAGCUACUUUGAGCUCCGUUCAACGUCCGACUUUCCGUGGUGAUCUCUCUCUCUAGCAGACCAGCCACGAUGCAGAGGUUAUUGCCCGCGAGGUCUCUAUCUGCAGCCGCUGCUUUCUUCAGAAAUGGCAGACACCGUGCUAGUUAUUCGACUUCUCUUCUCUUCGAUGAUACUCAGAAACAAUUUAAAGAAAGCGUUGCGCAGUUUGCACAGGAAAACAUUGCCCCUCAUGCAUCAAAAAUAGACACAACGAAUUAUUUUCCAGAGGAAGUCAACUUGUGGAAACUCAUGGGAGAUUUUAAUCUUCAUGGAAUCACUGCACCAGAGGAAUAUGGAGGACUUGGCCUUGGUUAUUUAUAUCAUUGCAUAGCAAUGGAAGAAAUUAGUCGUGCUUCAGGGUCUGUUGGCCUUUCAUAUGGUGCCCAUUCUAACCUAUGCAUUAACCAGUUGGUGAGGAAUGGAAGCCCUGCUCAAAAACAGAAGUACUUGCCAAAGCUUAUCAGUGGGGAGCAUGUAGGAGCUCUUGCAAUGAGUGAACCCAAUGCUGGCUCUGAUGUUGUCAGUAUGAAAUGCAAAGCUGAUCAUGUUGAUGGAGGUUACAUUAUAAAUGGGAACAAAAUGUGGUGCACAAAUGGCACAAUUGCCCAGACUUUGGUUGUUUAUGCAAAAACAGAUGUCAAAGCUAAUUCAAAGGGGAUCACAGCAUUUAUCAUUGAGAAGGGAAUGCCUGGAUUCGAUACUGCCCAGAAAUUAGACAAACUCGGGAUGCGAGGAAGUGAUACAUGUGAGCUUGUUUUUGAAAAUUGCUUUGUUCCUGGAGAAAAUGUUCUUGGACAGGAAGGAAAAGGAGUUCAUGUCAUGAUGUCAGGGCUAGAUUUGGAGAGGCUUGUUUUGGCGGCUGGGCCCCUUGGUCUCAUGCAGGCAUGCCUUGAUGUUGUUCUUCCUUAUGUUCAACAGCGAGAGCAGUUUGGCCGUCCGAUUGGGGAAUUUCAGUUUAUACAGGGGAAAGUUGCUGACAUGUAUACUUAUUUACAAUCCUCAAGAUCAUAUGUAUACUCUGUUGCAAGGGCAUGCGAUGAUGGAAAGAUUAGCCCAAAGGAUUGUGCUGCAGUUAUACUUUCUGCUUCUGAAAGAGCCACCCAAGUUGCUCUUCAGUCUGUACAAUGCUUAGGUGGAAAUGGAUAUGUGAAUGAGUAUCCAACUGGUCGCCUUCUUCGAGAUGCAAAGCUAUAUGAGAUUGGGGCGGGGACAAGUGAGAUCAGAAGAAUGAUUAUUGCUCGUGAACUCUUUAAGGAACAGUGAGAGAUUGCACAUUUUAUUUAUUUGCUACGCUCAAGCAUCUUUGCCCCUUCCUGUUGUUGCUUUGACCUGUCAUGCUGCAGGGUGACUUUACUGAUCUAGGGACAAGGGACUAGGUCUUCUUUCGCCACACAGAUGAUCUUUAGUCUAAUAAUUUGAAAAGUGAAUUUUUUGUUCCAACGUGGGGAAGAACAAGAGGAUAGCCCAGUGCAAAGGUCCCAAGGUUCCCAUCAAUGUGGGAUCUGUGUCCGAACACAGCCCUCAACUCCUGCAUGCAGAAAGGCUGUUCUGGCUGAAUAAAGAACAAUUGUGGUCUAUUUAGAAUGCAGGAAAAGGGUAAGCUCGUAGAGGGGAAGGAAGGGGGAAAUGGGGAGAUCCAUGUGGUUAUGGUGCCCUUGUGACCAUGGGAUCAAUACUUUGACUCGAACCCUUAAAACUUGUACUAAGGAGCCAUCUGAUAAAAUUAAAGGACCAAGUAUUACGUGAAUAUUAAAUACAACUCUAAAUCUCAAUCAAAUUUUGAAUUUGAAUGUUAAA